UGGGAGAUCGUCCAAUGGUAGGACUCCAGACUCUGAAUCUGGCUAUCUAAGUUCGAAUCUUAGUCUCCCAG
rnacentral:tRNA from 1 species